AUUGAACGCUGGCGGCAGGCCUAACACAUGCAAGUCGAGCGGAGCGGCGGACGGGUGAGUAAUGUCUGGGAAUCUGCCUGGUAGUGGGGGAUAACGUUCGGAAACGGGCGCUAAUACCGCAUACUCUCAGAUGAGCCUAGGUGGGACUAGCUCGUUGGUGGGGUAAAGGCCUACCAAGGCGACGAUCCGUAACUGGUCUGAGAGGAUGCUCAGUCACACUGGAACUGAGACACGGUCCAGACUCCUACGGGAGGCAGCAGUGGGGAAGAUUGGACAAUGGGCGAAAGCCUGAUCCAGCCAUGCCGCGUGUGGGAAGAAGGUCUUCGGAUUGUAAAGCACUUUAAGUUGGGAGGCGUUACCAACAGAAUAAGCACCGGCUAACUUCGUGCCAGCAGCCGCGGUAAUAC
rnacentral:rRNA from 1 species